rnacentral:tRNA from 2 species
CGGAAGAUUGGCAGAGUCUGGCUAAUUGCACCACACUUGAAAUGCGGAGGUCCUGGUGACAGGUCCCGUGAGUUCGAAUCUCACAUCUUCC